rnacentral:tRNA from 1 species
AUUCAAGUGGUUUAAAUAUAAAAUAUUGAUUUGUGGUGUCAUUGAUAUACAUUACGUAUCUUGAAUU